UACGGAGGGUGCAAGCAUUGUCCGGAUUUAUUGGGUUUAAAGGGUGCGUAGGCGGCCCUGUAAGUCAGUGGUGAAAUACUGCAGCUUAACUGUAGCAUUGCCAUUGAUACUGUAGGGCUUGAGUACAGAUGAGGUAGGCGGAAUUGAUGGUGUAGCGGUGAAAUGCAUAGAUACCAUCAAGAACACCGGUUGCGAAGGCAGCUUACUAAGCUGUAACUGACGCUGAGGCACGAAAGCGUGGGGAUCGAACAGG
rnacentral:rRNA from 1 species